rnacentral:rRNA from 1 species
ACGCUGGCGGCAGGCCUAACACAUGCAAGUCGAGCGGUAGAGAGAAGCUUGCUUCUCUUGAGAGCGGCGGACGGGUGAGUAAUGCCUAGGAAUCUGCCUGGUAGUGGGGGAUAACGCUCGGAAACGGACGCUAAUACCGCAUACGUCCUACGGGAGAAAGCAGGGGACCUUCGGGCCUUGCGCUAUCAGAUGAGCCUAGGUCGGAUUAGCUAGUUGGUGAGGUAAUGGCUCACCAAGGCGACGAUCCGUAACUGGUCUGAGAGGAUGAUCAGUCACACUGGAACUGAGACACGGUCCAGACUCCUACGGGAGGCAGCAGUGGGGAAUAUUGGACAAUGGGCGAAAGCCUGAUCCAGCCAUGCCGCGUGUGUGAAGAAGGUCUUCGGAUUGUAAAGCACUUUAAGUUGGGAGGAAGGGUUGUAGAUUAAUACUCUGCAAUUUUGACGUUACCGACAGAAUAAGCACCGGCUAACUCUGUGCCAGCAGCCGCGGUAAUACAGAGGGUGCAAGCGUUAAUCGGAAUUACUGGGCGUAAAGCGCGCGUAGGUGGUUUGUUAAGUUGGAUGUGAAAUCCCCGGGCUCAACCUGGGAACUGCAUUCAAAACUGACUGACUAGAGUAUGGUAGAGGGUGGUGGAGUUUCCUGUGUAGCGGUGAAAUGCGUAGAUAUAGGAAGGAACACCAGUGGCGAAGGCGACCACCUGGACUAAUACUGACACUGAGGUGCGAAAGCGUGGGGAGCAAAC